CCCUAGCCCCGAUUGCAGUGGAAAUCCUUUUUUGCGUGGACUUCGGGUUUAUAGAAGUGGAAAUUGUCUGCAAAAAAGAUUGCAACGGAAAGCGGGAAAUAGC
rnacentral:sRNA from 1 species